rnacentral:lncRNA from 1 species
UUUAUUUAUUUUUAUUUUUUAGAAAAUGAUUAAGCUAGUUCGUAGUCAACUCAGCAACCGUCUCCCCGGCAACGGCGCCAAAAAGCUUGUUGACACUUGCUAACACCACUUGAAUACUAGGUUGUCAUCCCCAGCAUGGCACUAGAGUGUACUAUGGUAUUUCUACGCACACAGAUAAAUCCGCAAGCGCACGGAUACCGUUGUAGCUUUUACCCGGUUAAAGGUUUUAUCGUAUCCAUAGGGAAACGGGAGAACUGAUCUACGCUCUAACUUAACCUAGAUAGAUAGGUAGGUGUAAAUAGGAAAGAUAGUGGAAUUGAAUAAGAACAAUAUUAAAGGUAAGAUAACAAUGGUGAUAAUAUGGGAAUAGAGAGUAGAGCAAUCUAGUAUAUGGGCGAUGGUAGGAGAAUAAAGA